CAGGUAUGGUAGUGCAUGCCUAUAGUUCCAGCUACUUGGGAGACUGAGGUAGGAGGAUCGCUUGAGCCCAGCAGUUCUGGGCUACAGUGCACUAUGCUGAUUGGGUAUCUGCACUAAGUUCAGCACCAGUGUGGUGACCUCCUGGGAGUGGGGGACCACCAGGUUGCCUAAGGAAGGGUGAACUGGCCCAGGUUAGAAGCAGCAGGUUAAAACUCCAGUGCUGAUCAGUGGUGGGAUCAUGCCUAUGAAUAGCCACUGCACUCUGGUGUGGACAAUAUAGUGAGACCCUGCCUCU
rnacentral:SRP_RNA from 1 species